UGCAGAGGAAGCAGAUAGGAAAGCACCCAGGAUUUCUGUGAUAGAAGCUCAUUUGCUUAUAAUAAAGUGGUGAUGUGAGAGGCAGGCAUCUAAUUUAAUGUAUAUCUAGGAUGCAUUAAAUGCAUGUAGGAUGACUACAACUGUGUUCAGGGACAGAGGCUGGCAGCUGCCAUCCUUGUACUUUCUCUCUGCUACAUUAGAACAACAGUAUCCAGCGAGGUGGAUUUCACAGGUGUCUGGUGCCAUGGUGCUUUGAAUCUAGCACUCAGGCUCACUUGACCUUGUUGGCUAGCAGGGCUUGGAUUCCUAGAUCCAUGAGACUACAUGAGACAGUUCUUGGCCAGCUAUCACCCCUAAGGCACUGUACAGACAAUAGACUGAAACAGAUACCAGUCUUGCUGUGAAAUAGGCCUAUUUCCUUGUCCUGGAGCCUUCCCCUAAAGAUCAGGCUUCUGGUUUGAUACCUAACUAAGGACUUUUUGAGCUGCUCUCAGAGAACAGAAGCUAGUAGACAUCAUUUUCAUGUUCUGCCUCUACCUCACUCCAGCUAGCUGCUAUCUCCAAGAAAGAAAUCUUCCCUCAGUCUGAUGUUUCAGUUUGUGCAGCUGCUACCUGGGAUCAUCUCUAGAUCGUAAAUAUAUGUAACCUGAUCUCGACAGCCUGAAAUCAGCCACAGUACUUUAAAUAAUAAAGAAGUUUGGAAAAAGCUAUAAAUCGGGGUUCCUCCAACACAUCGCUAUUUGGAGAACAGGGAGUUGAAGAAUUUAAAAACGUGUGCUUGUACAGAUAUAAUGUACUAAACAAAAAGGACAAGCUUCACAAAAGAGGAAAACUUUUAAGAGGUCAACAUCCCAACAAAUUGCACCUCAGCAAUAAAAUUUUUCAAUGCCAGUGCAACCUACAGAGAGUCAGUAUGUCAAAUUACCCUAUCAGAAUACAUUUUAAGACACUUUGCUCAUUUAUUCAUCAAAUAUUGAAUCAGGAAAUUCGUUCUUAACCUGUAUACUAUUUUUCCUGCAAUAAGAGUGAAGAAAGAAAGGAAAUAAAAAUUGCUAUGAAUGGAACAAGAAUACCAUGGCUUAUGAAAAGCAGUAGAGAGCAUUCUAAGAAGAAGUAUAUGGAAUUAACAUUUGCUACAAAGGAGUUUAUGGAUAUAGCCAUUGAGAAAUAUCUGCUAUUUUCAAAGCUAAACAA